rnacentral:rRNA from 1 species
UUCAAAUUUCUAAGAGCAAACGGUGAAUGCCUUGGCAUGUAGAGCCGAAGAAGGACGUAGUAAUCUGCGAUAAGCCUCGGGGAGUUGAUAAACGAACUGUGAUCCGAGGAUUUCCGAAUGGGGAAACCCCGCCAGGCCCUUUGGGUGACCUGGUGACUCCCGCCUGAAUAUAUAGGGCGGGUAGAGGGAACGUGGGGAAGUGAAACAUCUCAGUACCCACAGGAAGAGAAAACAAUAGUGAUUCCGUUAGUAGUGGCGAGCGAAACCGGAUGAGGCUAAACCGAUCAUGUGUGAUAGCCGGCAGGCGUUGCAUGGUCGGGGUUGCGGGACUUUUCUGCUGAUUCUGCCGAACAGUGAGGGUUAGAGCGUUGUAUAGACGAACAGGAUUGAAAGCCUGGUCAUAGAGGGUGCGAACCCCGUAGUCGAAAUGCAGCAAUCGCCCGAAGAGUAUCCCAAGUAGCACGGGGCCCGAGAAAUCCCGUGUGAAUCCGUCAGGACCACCUGAUAAGCCUAAAUACUCCUACAUGACCGAUAGUGAACAAGUACCGUGAGGGAAAGGUGAAAAGUACCCCGGGAGGGGAGUGAAAUAGUACCUGAAACCGUUUGCUUACAAACCGUUGGAGCCAGCUUUGUUCUGGUGACAGCGUGCCUUUUGAAGAAUGAGCCUGCGAGUUAGUGAUAUGUGGCGAGCUUAACCCGAGAGGGGAAUGCGUAGCGAAAGCGAGUCUGAAUAGGGCGAUUCAGUCGCAUGUCCUAGACCCGAAGCGAAGUGAUCUAUCCAUGGCCAGGUUGAAGCGACGGUAAGACGUCGUGGAGGACCGAACCCACUUCAGUUGAAAAUGGAGGGGAUGAGCUGUGGAUAGGGGUGAAAGGCCAAUCAAACUUCGUGAUAGCUGGUUCUCUCCGAAAUGCAUUUAGGUGCAGCGUUGCGUGUUUCUUGCCGGAGGUAGAGCUACUGGAUGGCCGAUGGGGCCUAAAAGCUUACUGACGUCAGCCAAACUCCGAAUGCCGGUAAGUGAGAGCGCAGCAGUGAGACGGUGGGGGAUAAGCUUCAUCGUCGAGAGGGAAACAACCCAGACCACCAACUAAGGUCCCAAAGCGCGUGCUAAGUGGGAAAGGAUGUGGAGUUGCACAGACAACCAGGAGGUUGGCUUAGAAGCAGCCACCCUUGAAAGAGUGCGUAAUAGCUCACUGGUCAAGUGAUUCCGCGCCGACAAUGUAACGGGGCUCAAGCACGCCACCGAAGUUGUGGCAUUGAUAUUUUUGGUAAGCCGC